rnacentral:rRNA from 1 species
UACGGAGGGGGCGAGCGUUGUCCGGACUUACUGGGCGUAAAGCGUGGGUAGGCGGCCACUGAUGUGCCGUGUGAAAGCGCCGCGCUUCUCGCGGCGAGGUCGCGGUAGACACAGUGGCUAGAGGCACGGAGAGGGGCGUAGAAUUCCCGGUGUAGUGGUGAAAUGCGUAGAGAUCGGGAAGAACAUCGGUGGCGAAAGCGAUCUACUGGACCGCAACUGACACUCAGGGACGAAAGCGAGGGGAGCAAAUGGG